rnacentral:tRNA from 1 species
GAAGCUGUGGCAUUGUGGGUAAAGCAGCUGCCUGCAGUGCUGGCAUCCCAUAUGAGCCCAGGUUCAAGUCCUGACUGCUCCA